ensembl:lncRNA
UUUUUUUUUUUUUUUUUUUUUUUUUUUUUUCCUUGAGACUGGGGAACACUGCCUUGCUUGGGUAUCACUUGAACAGACCUCACAUUUUUCAUUUAUGCUUUUUCAUCUCAGCACUCCUGAAACAGAGAUGUCUCAAGGUACUCUUUGCAAGGUCAUCAGCUAAGCUGACUAUAAAAAUUCAAAUUUAAUUCAUUAAAUUAAACUCUCUGAUUUACUAUAAAAAACUAGAGAGCCAGGUAUAUGUUAAAAAAUCAAGUCAGAAAAGAACAGAAAUUGGGAAGAAAGUUUCUCCUUUUUUAAGCACUGAAAACGAGAAAAGCAGAGAUGUAAAGGGAAAAACUUAGAGCCAGAAGAUCCAAACUUCCCCUUGAUUCUAAACUUAGCUCAGCCACUGGCCCACCGUGCAGAUGACUCAGUGCACUUCCUUGAACUUAAAUCAUUCCUCUUACAAAACUUGUUAAAGAAAGACGUCAGUGUAAAUUAGAUGUUGUGUCUAAGUUUAGCUAUGGCCAAUACAUAAAUAUCAGAAAUUUAAUGUGUUCUCAUUCUUGUCUGCUUAAGAAAGAUGUGUAUAUACAUGCACAUAUGCAUAUAUAUAUAUAUACACACACUAGCAAGGGAGAGAAAGACUUCUUUGCGCUAUUUUUACAGUUUCAUUUGCAUAUAUUGUUAUUUUGCUGGUGACAUAAGAGCUCACAGCUGAUUAGAAGUUUAACUGUUUUCAGAGCAGCCUGACUGCCACAACGCCCAAGCACUCUUCAUUCUCUCAAACUGUCAGGAAAGUUUCCAUCCCAUCCAAGCAGUGAGAGCUGAGAGUACACAUUCGGCAUAUAACAUACAUGAUGUCUGAUUCCUUGUGACACUAAUCUUCACUCCUGGGGGAAAGGCAGUCAUUUAUUCAUAACUCUACCACUCAAAAGUAACCAUUCUUCUCACCAUGGAGAUAAAUGUCAAAACAGAGACCAUCCAUAGGCUGAGUCUAAUCUAAUCUGUCCAAAAUGAAUAUAUAUUUAGAUCUGUUGUCAAAUCUUGAAUAGCAAACCCUUUAGCCUAGGCAACUAUUUCCUCAGUCUGCCCUCUCCGUCUAUAAAUAUGCAUAUCAGAAUGGAUAUAUGCUAUCAGAGAAGCAUAUUAAUCCUGCUAACAUGGACAGGAUAUGAUGCUGACCAAUCUGCCUGAUAUAAGCAAAGACCCAGAUGACAAAUCACAAGACUUCCAGAAAUUGUAACAGAGAGGGAAAAAAUAUAUUAAUUUUUGUUAAAAUUUCUCUAUAAUUCAACAUGCACCUGAAAUCAGCAGGCCCUCCACUUCCAAGUGGCUGGUCCAACAAAUGAGAAGAACAGAGUCCUACCUGGAUGUCUGCGGAAGAUGGCAAUGGAAAUUUCCUUUCUCGUAAAACUGUUAAUUCUCAUUGUCCCUCUCCUUUCUCCAGUUCACAUUUUCAUUUUGGGGAUGUCAGCUGGAAGGUGUUUAUUUAUGCUACACCCUUUCCCAUCAAAUUAUACCUAUGGAGUUCCUCAUAUUCUCCUGAAAAUGGUUGUCACAAUUUUUAAGAAUGAGAAGGAUGACCCCAGAAACUACAGGCCUGUCGAUCUUGCUUUGGUGCCCAGUAAAAUCAUGGAAAAGGUUGUUCUGGAAGGUAUGGGAAAAUACCUGAAGGACUAUGAAGUCUUCAGUCAGCCAGCAUGGCUUCAUAAGGGAAAAGUCCUGCUUGUCAAAUCUGAUUUCCCUCUAUGACAGGGUAACCCACCAACCUGAUCUAGGAAAGCCAGUAGAUGUAAUCUUUUCAGAAAAACUGAAAACUGGCUUACAGGUUGGGCACAAAAGGUCACAGUGACUGGGGUGAUAUCAGAUUGGCAACCUGUCACUAGUUGAGUUCUUGUCAGGGCUCCAUCCUUGGCCCUGUGCUCUUCAACAUCUUCAUGAAUUACUUGGAAGCAGGACUGGAAGGAGUACUAAGUUUGCCAGUGAUACUAAAUUAGGAGGAGCUGACUCCAUCAAAUGCAAGGAGACCCUGCAGAGACAGGUCAACAAAUCAGAGACGUGGUUAGUCACCAGCCAUGUGAAGGGAACAAGGGAAAGUGUCAGAUAUUCUGCACCUGGGAAGGGCAACCCUGGUUGUGUGUAUAGAUGGUUGGAAAGCAGUGCUGCUAAAAGGGACCUGGGGGUCCUGGCCAAUGGCAAGUUGAAUCGGAGUCAGCAGUGCCCUGGCAGCCAGGAGGGCCAAGCAUGUCCUGUGGGACAUCAGGCACAGCAUGGCCAGCCCGGCAAGGAAGGGGAUUGUCCUGCUCUGCUCUGCACUGGGGAAGCCUCAUCUUGAGUGCUGGGGAAGUUUCAGGCACUACAAGAUAAAAAUAACAUUAUAUUUUUAGAGAGUGUCCAAAGGAGGGCCAUAAGGAUGGUGAUGGAUUAGGAGGAAAAGCCAUGCAGGGAGUAGCUUAGGUCACUUUGCUUGUCCAGCCUAGAGAGGAGGAGACUGAGUGGAGACCUCAUUGUAGUCUUCAACAUUUUCACAAGGGGAAGCAGAGGGGUAGGUACUGAUCUCUUCCCUCUGGUGACCAGUUUAAGGACACAAGGAAAUGUCAUAAAGCUGAGUCAGGGGAGAUUUAGGUUAGACAUCAAGAAAAGGUUCUUUACCUGGAGUGGUCAGGCACUGGAACAAGUUCGCCAGGGAAGUGGUCACAGCACCAACCUUGAGAGAGUUCAAGACGUGUAUGGAAAAUGCUCUCAGGCACAUGGUGUGAUUCUUGAGGUGUCCUGCACAAGGCCAGGAGUUGGACUCAAUGAUCCUGAUGUGUCUCUUCCAACACAGGAUAUUCUGUGAUAUCCUGGUACUGAGACACUGGACAACACCAUAGAAGAACCAGAAGUGACUGUCAUUUUUCUGUACCACUCCUCUAUCUCAUUCCACCAUGAAUCUCCAUGAAGUUGUAUUUUUUUUAAGUGGAAUGUCUGAAACUCAUCUCAGAGCCUGAAGAGAAAGAAGUCUUCUUGCUGUGGUACUCACAGAGGAAUUAUGCUGUUUCAGAGAACCAUACCUCUAUCUCUUGUAGAUAUUUCAUUAUUGAAGUUGCACAACAAACACUAAAUGGUAAACAUAGGUUACACUGCUUGUAAACUGUCCUAUUUCUGGAGCUCAAAUAUCUUUGUUCAAAACUAAAUUCCAUUUUUACGUUUGGAUGAAUCUUAUCAUCAGCCAAUUAACUAAUUAUUUCAAAAGAUGAAUUAGGUUUUCCACUUACUCUUCCUUAGCAGUUCAACCAAAUUACCAUUAAUAUAUCAUUAGCUACUUUUCUUUUCUAUGUAUUCCAAGUGAGUAACUGAGCCAUGGUUGUAUCAAAAAGUACUUUCAGAUGUCCCACAUAUGUUUAGAGUGAAUGGGACCUCAGCUAUGUCAGUAUGGGAUUUCUCUAGGAACCCAAGUGCAAAAGGACAUCUGGCCAGCAACCUGUCACUCUGACUUGCUCUGGAUUUGCUCUUACAAGUGGGUCAGAUCCUUAUCUGGAAUAGUUGGACAGAUCUGCACUGCAGCAAGAUUGAGCCCACGUGUCACAAUGCACAAAUACACAAGCAGCAUUGCUAAAAAGGGUCUACUUUCCAAAGGUGGCAGAAAUGGGUGCCAGGUGACAGCUGAGAUGGCACAUAAUGGUCUUUGUGCAGUAAAAAACAAUGAAAGUUUUGUAAAGUAAUAGUUCAGUGAGGUAAAAUAACCAGGGGAAAAAAGUGCUUUAACACAACAUAAAACAAUAGUACAAAAUAGGAAUCAAGAACCAUGGUGUCGCUCCAAACCAUGGCUUCUGUACAUGUGAAGUAAUCAUCUGGAAAAGAAGCUAGCUGUGGGAGAGGAUUAUGAACAGGUCGUGAUCUCACAGCAUGACAAAAUGGCCAAGAGAGCAAAUGCAACUCUUGUUAGCAAUGAGCAGCACCUGCAGAAGGAGGAGUUAAAGAAUUUGCUACUUUUUGUCACAUCCUGAAGGUGGUCCUUGCUAGGUAUUGUAACCAUUUCUAGUCUCAAUACUUUAGCAAGGAUGUUAAUAAAUACAAAUGGUUCAGAGAUAGUGACACCUGGGGAAAAUCUCCCUCAUGCGGAGCACUUAAAGAUCAACCUCACUACCUCAAAGAAAGGGCACAGAGGAGAGCAAAACACUGCCUAAGACUACCUAUGUGGAGAGGAAAAUCUACAGGCAUUAGAGAUUCUUCAGCAGGCUAUAAAUCUCUUGAACUCAAAAAUGAGACAAAGAACAGCGUGCUAAACUGCCACAUUUGGAACAACUUAUCCAGUAAAUUUGCCAUCCCUGCUAGCCUUGAAAUCAAUAUUGCUGUCAUACAGAAUAGCUCUUUCAGAAACGAAACUCUGAAUGGAGUCCAUGAAAUCCUAUGCCCUGUAUAAUCUAAAACAGAGUAGAUGAUCAUAAGAGUCUGCUUGAGUCUUAAAAAUCCAUGAGUGUAGUCCAGAGGACGUGUAGUUUUAGAGGCUAAUUAUGAGGCCCUUACAUUUUUCAGGAUGAGUUUUCCCUGAAGGUUUUUCCUGAAGACUAAAUUAUUUAUCCUAUAACUGAAAAGUAAGGCUGCAAAGGUAUGAAGGAGCGAGCCCCCAAAAGAUCAGAUUUCCUCCUGUUUUCCUAUUUUCCUUAAUUCUAGGUGAAAACAUGUACAGACAAUAGACAAACUUUAUACUUUGAAGAAGACUGAAAGUUCUGCAAGCACGUGGAGAGGAGAUCAGCACACUCACAAGCAAAUCUUGUGAAAGGCAGACACUGGCUGCAUCUGAGUUUACAACAGGGCUCUAAAGAAAUUUGCUUUUCUGGUUUUGAUGACCUAUGUAGCCCUGUGACAGAUAUGGUGUAGUACCACAUUUCCAAGGAAUGGGCUCUACAGCAGCUUCCUUUACUACCUAACUGGAUUUUAUCAUUUUGACUGAAUGUCAGGAGGUUUUUACAAUAUGAGGCUCCAAAACCAUGUCUUGCCUAGUCAUUCUUGUUUCCUCAGCCAGUUUUAUCCAUUUCUGCUCCUAGGUGUAUAGCAGCAUACAGAAUUCCAGUAAUCCCCACAAAACUCAUACUGUAAGACUCAGUACUGCCCAUUUUCCAAUAAUUACAUUUAAGAUGGCGCUUUAAUUCACUGGGAACUGAGUUGAGCUUUUCCAUGAACUUGUAUUUGAUUUGGUAAAGAGGAACUUCAGUAGAGUGAGGCUAGGAUUAUCUCUAUGUGAUUCACAGCAGAAUUUCCAUCUUUUGCACAUCUUCAACAAAUACCAGGACUUGAUGAAGACCUUAUUUUUCAGGUGGACCGAUCCUAAGUUUCAUCCUUUGUCUAGCAAUAUGAAAAAGAUAUCUAGCUUGGUUGUCUUAAUCACAUUUUCAGUUUUGAUGGGCAGGAAAUGUAGUGUAGAUAUGUGUGAACCCUGAAUAAGCUUAAGAGCAGGGGUUUGCUGAAUGCUGGUUUUGGGAAACAGUGUCUGGAUUUUGUUAUCCUGUUAAGUCUGGGAAAUCAUUCACAUCUCCCC